AUGUCAAGUUCAGGUUAUCCUCCCAACCAAGGAGCAUUCAGCACAGAAUAAAGUUGUUAUCCUCCUCACUCUGUAAAGUAUACAUUUCCCAGCACCUGCCACCAGCAGGAUCCAGCAUUUGGAGGCAUACAUGAAACUCCAUCCUCUCCAAUUUCAGGGCAACCAUGUGGAGAUGAUCAAAAUGCUUCACCUUCAAAACUUUCAAAGGAAGAGUUAAUACAGAGUAUGGAUCGUGUAAAUCGAGAAAUUGCAAAAGUACAACACCAGAUCCUUAAACUGAAAAAGAAACAAGUAAAUGUCUUU
rnacentral:lncRNA from 1 species